GAUGAACGCUGGCGGCGUGCUUAACACAUGCAAGUCGAACGGUGAACACGGAGCUUGCUCUGUGGGAUCAGUGGCGAACGGGUGAGUAACACGUGAGCAACCUGCCCCUGACUCUGGGAUAAGCGCUGGAAACGGCGUCUAAUACUGGAUAUGUGACGUGACCGCAUGGUCUGCGUUUGGAAAGAUUUUUCGGUUGGGGAUGGGCUCGCGGCCUAUCAGCUUGUUGGUGAGGUAAUGGCUCACCAAGGCGUCGACGGGUAGCCGGCCUGAGAGGGUGACCGGCCACACUGGGACUGAGACACGGCCCAGACUCCUACGGGAGGCAGCAGUGGGGAAUAUUGCACAAUGGGCGCAAGCCUGAUGCAGCAACGCCGCGUGAGGGAUGACGGCCUUCGGGUUGUAAACCUCUUCUAGCAGGGAAGAAGCGAAAGUGACGGUACCUGCAGAAAAAGCGCCGGCUAACUACGUG
rnacentral:rRNA from 1 species